UUCCGGUUGAUCCUGCCGGACCCGACUGCUAUCAGAGUGGGACUAAGCCAUGCGAGUCAACGUAGCAAUACGUGGCAUACGGCUCAGUAACACGUAGUCAACAUGCCCAGGGGACGAGGAUAACCUCGGGAAACUGAGGAUAAACCUCGAUAGGCCAUGAUUUCUGGAAUGAUUCUUGGCUCAAACCUAUAUGGCCCCUGGAUUGGACUGCGGCCGAUCAGGCUGUUGGUGAGGUAAUGGCCCACCAAACCUAUUACCGGUACGGGCUCUGAGAGGAGGAGCCCGGAGAUGGGCACUGAGACAAGGGCCCAGGCCCUAUGGGGCGCAGCAGGCGCGAAACCUCUGCAAUAGGCGAAAGCUUGACAGGGUUACUCUGAGUGAUUUCCGCUAAGGGAAUCUUUUGGCACCCCUAAAAAUGGUGCAGAAUAAGGGGUGGGCAAGUCUGGUGUCAGCCGCCGCGGUAAUACCAGCACCCCAAGUGGUCGGGACGAUUAUUGGGCCUAAAGCAUCCGUAGCCGGUCCUGCAAGUCUUCCGUUAAAUCCAGCUGCUCAACAGAUGGGCUGCGGGAGAUACUACAGGGCUAGGAGGCGGGAGAGGCAAGCGGUACUUUAUGGGUAGGGGUAAAAUCCGCUGAUCCAUAGAAGACCACCAGUGGCGAAGGCGGCUUGCCAGAACGCGCUCGACGGUGAGGGAUGAAAGCUGGGGGAGCAAACCGGAUUAGAUACCCGGGUAGUCCCAG
rnacentral:rRNA from 1 species